rnacentral:rRNA from 1 species
AGCAGCUGCGGUAAUUCCAGCUCCAAUAGCGUAUAUUAAAGUUGUUGCAGUUAAAAAGCUCGUAGUUGAAUUUCGGGAUCAAUUUAUUGGUCGUGCAAUAGUACGUACUGGUCAAAUUGAUUCCUACCUUCUGACGAACCACGAUGUCAUUAAUUUGGUGUCGCGGGGAAUCAGGACUGUUACUUUGAAAAAUUAGAGUGUUUAAAGCAGGCUCGCGCUUGAAUACAUUAGCAUGGAAUAAUGAAAUAGGACGUUUGAUUCUAUUUUGUUGGUUUCUAGGAUCGACGUAAUGAUUAAUAGGGAUAGUUGGGGGCAUUAGUAUUCAAUUGUCAGAGGUGAAAUUCUUGGAUUUAUUGAAGACUAACUACUGCGAAAGCAUUUGCCAAGGAUGUUUUCA